AGCUGGCUGGCUCAGUUGGAAGAGCAUGCAGACUGUUAAUCUCAGGAUUGUGAGUUUGAGUCCCAUGUUGGGUG
rnacentral:tRNA from 1 species